rnacentral:rRNA from 1 species
GUAGGGGGCAAGCGUUAUCCGGAUUUACUGGGUGUAAAGGGAGCGUAGACGGCGAGGCAAGUCUGAUGUGAAAACCCGGGGCUCAACCCCGUGACUGCAUUGGAAACUGUUUUGCUUGAGUGCCGGAGAGGUAAGCGGAAUUCCUAGUGUAGCGGUGAAAUGCGUAGAUAUUAGGAGGAACAUCAGUGGCGAAGGCGGCUUACUGGACGGCAACUGACGUUAAGGCUCGAAAGCGUGGGGAGCAAACAGGAUUAGAUACCCUGGUAGUCCACGCAGUAAACGAUGAUUACUAGGAGUUUGCGAUACAAUGUAAGCUCUACAGCGAAAGCGUUAAGUAAUCCACCUGGGGAGU